rnacentral:rRNA from 1 species
CAAUAGCGUAUAUUAAAGUUGUUGCGGUUAAAAAGCUCGUAGUUGGAUUUCUGCUGAGAACGACCGGUCCGCCCUUUGGGUGUGUAUCUGGCUCUUUCUUGGCAUCUUCUUGGUGAACGUUGCUGCACUUGACUGUGUGGAGCGCUACCCAGGACUUUUACUUUGAGGAAAUUAGAGUGUUUCAAGCAGGCAUACGCCUUGAAUACAUUAGCAUGGAAUAAUAAGAUAGGACCUCGGUUCUAUUUUGUUGGUUUCUAGAGCUGAGGUAAUGAUUAAUAGGGAUAGUUGGGGGCAUUCGUAUUUAACUGUCAGAGCUGAAAUUCUUGGAUUUGUUAAAGACGGACUACUGCGAAAGCAUUUGCCAAGGAUGUUUUCAUUGA